rnacentral:rRNA from 1 species
CCUACGGGUGGCUGCAGUGGGGAAUAUUGCGCAAUGGGCGAAAGCCUGACGCCGCGACGCCGCGUGAGGGAUGAAGGUCUUCGGAUCGUAAACCUCUGUCAGCAGGGAAGAACGGUCACUGUGCUAAUCAGCAGUGAAUUGACGGUACCUGCAAAGGAAGCACCGGCUAACUCCGUGCCAGCAGCCGCGGUAAUACGGAGGGUGCGAGCGUUAAUCGGAAUUACUGGGCGUAAAGCGCUCGUAGGCGGUAUGUCAAGUCAAGGGUGAAAUCCCCGCGCUCAACGUGGGAACUGCCUUUGAAACUGGCAAACUGGAGUGUGUGAGAGGAUAGUGGAAUUCCAGGUGUAGGAGUGAAAUCCGUAGAGAUCAGGAGGAACACCGGCGGCGAAGGCGGCCUGCUGGACUGCGACUGACGUUGAGGCUCGAAAGCGUGGGGAGCGAACAGGAUUAGAUACCCUUGUAGUC